GAUGAACGCUGGCGGCGUGCCUAAUAUAUGCAAGUCGAGCGAACAGACGAGGAGCUUGCUCCUCUGACGUUAGCGGCGGACGGGUGAGUAACACGUGGAUAACCUACCUAUAAGACUGGGAUAACUUCGGGAAACCGGAGCUAAUACCGACUAAUAUAUUGAACCGCAUGGUUCAAUAGUGAAAGACGGUUUUGCUGUCACUUAUAGAUGGCUCCGCGCCGCAUUAGCUAGUUGGUAAGGUAACGGCUUACCAAGGCGACGAUGCGUAGCCGACCUGAGAGGGUCAUCGGCCACACUGGAACUGAGACACGCUACAGACUCCUACGGGAGGCAGCAUCAGGGUAUCGUACGCAAUGGGCGAAAGCCUGACGGAGCAACGCCGCUUGAGUGAUGAAGGUCUUCGGAUCGUAAAACUCUGUUAUUAGGGAAGAACAAAUGUGUAAGUACCUAUGCACGUCUUGACGGUACCUAAUCAGAAAGCCACGGCUAACUACGUG
rnacentral:rRNA from 1 species